rnacentral:misc_RNA from 1 species
GGACAAUCUACUCUGUCACAGUGCCAGUCAGACGGGUGAGAUCAGAAUACCAGGUAGAGGAUCCAACUGGGACAAUAACAAAUGUUGAGUACAAAGACACUGGAGAUAAUUCUGGUUCAGUUGAUGUCAAGUUCGACUUUUACAUUCCAGACGAGAAUUUCAAUGACUAUGGUAUGUGAAACCUGUACCUUUGCCUAACCGGAAAGUGGGUUGAAAUGUCUUGUUUGUCUGGCAUU